GCGGCUGGAUCCCCUCCUUUUAUAGAGUAAAGUGCCCAACUCGUUUUUUCCUUGCGAGGAGCCGUUUGGUUCUUUGCACGCGUGGGACCGAUGGGCCUAUAGCUCAGCUUCGGUUAGAGCGCACGCCUGAUAAGCGUGAGGUCGAUGGUUCAAGUCCAUCUAGGCCCACCACCUGCCUUUUGAGGUUUCGGGGGUGUAGCUCAGUUGGGAGAGCACCUGCCUUGCAAGCAGGGGGUCAUCGGUUCGAAUCCGUUCACCUCCACCAUUUGGGUUGGGUGGCGGACCACGCGAGUUCAUUGACAGAGAAAGAGGGAAUGGGGAAUUUGGAGAGAAUAUUGUAAGAAGAUAUGCAGGGCAACUGGUGGAUGCCUUGGCGCUAAGAGGCGAUGAAGGACGUGGUAGGCUGCGAUAAGCUUUGGUGAGCCGCCAAGCAGGCUUUGACCC
rnacentral:misc_RNA from 1 species